rnacentral:rRNA from 1 species
UACAGAGGUCUCAAGCGUUUGUUCGGAUUCAUUGGGCGUAAAGGGUGCGUAGGCGGCGCGGUAAGUCGGGUGUGAAAUCUUGGAGCUUAACUCCGAAACUGCAUUCGAUACUGCCGUGCUUGAGGACUGGAGAGGAGACUGGAAUUUACGGUGUAGCGGUGAAAUGCGUAGAUAUCGUAAGGAAGACCAGUGGCGAAGGCGGGUCUCUGGACAGUUCCUGACGCUGAGGCACGAAGGCCAGGGGAGCAAACGGGG